rnacentral:rRNA from 1 species
AUUGAACGCUCGCGGGAUGCUUUACACGUGCAAGUCGAACGGCAGCGCGGACUUCGGUCUGGCGGCGAGUGGCGAACGGGUGAGUAAUGUAUCGGAACGUGCCCAGUAGCGGGGGAUAACUACGCGAAAGCGUAGCUAAUACCGCAUACGCCCUACGGGGGAAAGCAGGGGAUCGUAAGACCUUGCACUAUUGGAGCGGCCGAUAUCGGAUUAGCUAGUUGGUGAGGUAACGGCUCACCAAGGCGACGAUCCGUAGCUGGUUUGAGAGGACGACCAGCCACACUGGGACUGAGACACGGCCCAGACUCCUACGGGAGGCAGCAGUGGGGAAUUUUGGACAAUGGGGGCAACCCUGAUCCAGCCAUCCCGCGUGUGCGAUGAAGGCCUUCGGGUUGUAAAGCACUUUUGGCAGGAAAGAAACGUCGCGGGCUAAUACCCCGUGGAACUGACGGUACCUGCAGAAUAAGCACCGGCUAACUACGUG